CCUUCGGGGUACUCGAGUGGCGAACGGGUGAGUACACGUGGGUGAUCUGCCCUGCACUUUGGGAUAAGCCUGGGAAACUGGGUCUAAUACCGAAUAUGACCAUGCACUUCCUGGUGUGUGGUGGAAAGCUUUUGCGGUGUGGGAUGGGCCCGCGGCCUAUCAGCUUGUUGGUGGGGUAAUGGCCUACCAAGGCGACGACGGGUAGCCGGCCUGAGAGGGUGACCGGCCACACUGGGACUGAGAUACGGCCCAGACUCCUACGGGAGGCAGCAGUGGGGAAUAUUGCACAAUGGGCGCAAGCCUGAUGCAGCGACGCCGCGUGAGGGAUGACGGCCUUCGGGUUGUAAACCUCUUUCAGCACAGACGAAGCGCAAGUGACGGUAUGUGCAGAAGAAGGACCGGCCAACUACGUGCCA
rnacentral:rRNA from 1 species